rnacentral:rRNA from 1 species
AGCGUGGAUUAGGCAUGCAAGUCGGACGGGAUCGGCCGGGUAGCAAUAUUCGGCCGUGAGAGUGGCGGAUUGGGGAGGAGCACGUGAGCAACCUGCCCUGGAGAGUGUGGAAAAACCUCUGGAAACGGAGGCUAAUACAGAAUGUGGCGCCCGACGGCAUCGUCGGAGCGCCGAAGGGGGCCGCAAGGCUCCCGCUCCGGGAUGGGCUCGCGCACCAUCAGCUAGUUGGCGGGGUAACGGCCCACCAAGGCCUACGGUUAGCUGGUCUGAGAGGAUGACCAGCCCCACUGGGACUGAGAUACUGCCCAGACUCCUACGGGAGGCUGCAGUCGAGGAUCAUUCGCAAUGGGCGAAAGCCUGACGAUGCGACGCUGCGUGGAAGGAUGAAGGCCUUCGGGUCGUAAACUCCUGUCAUGGGGGAAGAGGCGAGGGAAGCGAACACCUUCCUUAGUUGACUGUACCCCAAGAGGAAGCGACGGCUAACUCUGUGCCAGCAGCGGC